rnacentral:rRNA from 1 species
AGGAUGAACGCUAGCGGCAGGCUUAAUACAUGCAAGUCGAGGGGCAGCACGGGUAGCAAUACUUGGUGGCGACCGGCAAACGGGUGCGGAACACGUACGCAACCUUCCCAAAACUGGUGAAUAGCCCUCCGAAAGGAGGAUUAAUACACCGUAAGAUAACUGGAUGGCAUCAUUUGAUUAUUAUAGCUCCGGCGGUUUUGGAUGGGCGUGCGCCUGAUUAGGUAGUUGGUAGGUAACGGCCUACCAAGCCAACGAUCAGUAACUGGUGUGAGAGCACGACCAGUCACACGGGCACUGAGACACGGGCCCACUCCUACGGGAGCAGCAGUAAGGAAUAUUGGUCAAUGGACGCAAGUCUAGGAACCAGCCAUGCCGCGUGCAGGAUAGAAGGCCCUACGUGGUUAGUAAACUGUCUUUUAUCGUAGGGAACGGAAAAAAGGGUAUUCCUUCCGUACUACGUU